rnacentral:tRNA from 1 species
GGCCCCGCGGUGACUCACGCCAAAGUGCAAAUUUGGAGACACACCCUAAAGGGUGUCAGGGCCU